UGAUUUCAAAGGUGGCUUGAAUGAAAGUCUAAAAAAACUAAUAUUUGAGCUAGAUAAAAAUGAUUUUUGCAUUUGUUAUCAUUUAAUUACUGCUUGUCUUCUUAAAGACCAUUUAUGGGAGGGCAUUCUUCAAGGAAACAAAAAAGAAAAAGCAGGUGAAUGGGAGAGUUCUCUUAUGCUUCACAGAAGUAACCCCCAGGGAGCUUCAAUAUACGGAAAACUUUGGAGUGUAUUGUUAGAAAAUCCAUCAUUAGAAGAUUGAUUUAGAAUUCUUUCCGAUAUUCCCAACCAUCAUAAAUGGAAAUGGGAUAAACAUGUUAAAAUUCGAAGAUAUGAACAGAAAUUUUCGAAUUCAUGCAGGUAUUUUCCUGGUUCUCCAAGAAACCGAAUUCUUCAGGCCUCUUUUUAUCGAGUUGGCUCUGAAAUUUCAAAAGCAAAAAAGAGUAGAAUAUCUUCCGAAGAGUGUUUUCUUGACCAAGAGUUUCAAUAUAAUUACUUACCUUGCGGAAAUAAAGUUGUUUCAAACAAUAUUGGCACAAUUUCUAGUAAUGAGGUAUUGUGAAUAUUAAU